rnacentral:rRNA from 1 species
GACGAACGCUGGCGGUGUGCUUAACACAUGCAAGUCGAACGGUAAGGCCCUUUCGGGGGUCCACGAGUGGGGAACGGGUGAGUAACACGUGAGUAACCUGCCCUCAUCUCUGGGAUAACAGUCGGAAACGGUUGCUAAUACUGGAUGUGAGCUUGCAAGGCAUCUUGUGGGUUGGAAAGAUUUUUUUUGGUUGGGGAUGGACUCGCGGCCUAUCAGCUUGUUGGUGAGGUAGUGGCUCACCAAGGCUUCGACGGGUAGCCGGCCUGAGAGGGCGACCGGCCACAUUGGGACUGAGAUACGGCCCAAACUCCUACGGGAGGCAGCAGUGGGGAAUAUUGCACAAUGGACGGAAGUCUGAUGCAGCAACGCCGCGUGCGGGAUGACGGCCUUCGGGUUGUAAACCGCUUUCAAUUGUGACGAAGCUUUUUUGUGACGGUAGCAGUAGAAGAAGCACCGGCUAACUACGUG